rnacentral:rRNA from 1 species
UACGGAGGGUGCGAGCGUUGUCCGGAAUCAGCUAGGGCGUAAGGCGCGUAGGCGGCCUGAUAAGGUAGGGGUGAAUCCUGAGGCUUAACCUCAGGGCUGCCUUCUAAACUGUCGGGCUCGAGCACAGUAGAGGCAGGUGGAAUUCCCGGUGUAGCGGUGGAAUGCGUAGAGAUCGGGAAGAACAUCAGUGGCGAAGGCGGCCUGCUGGGCUGUUGCUGACGCUGAGGCGCGACAGCGUGGGGAGCAAACAGG